rnacentral:rRNA from 1 species
GGUAUUUUGACCGUGCAAAGGUAGCAUAAUCAUUAGUUUUUUAAUUGAAAGCUGGAAUGAAAGGUUGGAUGAAAAAUAAGCUGUCUCUAUUUAAAUUUAUUAGAAUUUUAUUUUUAAGUUAAAAAGCUUAAAUUUUAAUAGAAGACGAGAAGACCCUAUAGAGUUUUAUUUAUUUAUUAAAUAAAAAUAAUAGUAUUAAUUAUUUUUAUUUAUUAAAUAAAUUUAGUUGGGGUGAUUGAAAAAUUUAAUAAACUUUUUUUAUAUAUAUACAUUAAUUUAUGAUUAUUUGAUCCUUAGUUUAAGAUUAAAAGAUAAAAUUACCUUAGGGAUAACAGCGUAAUUUUUUUUGAGAGUUCUAAUCGAAAAAAAAGAUUGCGACCUCGAUGUUGGAUUAAAAUAAAAUUUUGGUGUAGAAGCUAAAA